rnacentral:rRNA from 1 species
GAUGAACGCUGGCGGCGUGCCUAAUACAUGCAAGUCGAGCGAACGGACGAGAAGCUUGCUUCUCUGAUGUUAGCGGCGGACGGGUGAGUAACACGUGGAUAACCUACCUAUAAGACUGGGAUAACUUCGGGAAACCGGAGCUAAUACCGGAUGAUAUUUUGAACCGCAUGGUUCAAAAGUGAAAGACGGUCUUGCUGUCACUUAUAGAUGGAUCCGCGCUGCAUUAGCUAGUUGGUAAGGUAACGGCUUACCAAGGCAACGAUGCAUAGCCGACCUGAGAGGGUGAACGGCACCAUUGAAACGGAGACACGGCCAAGCCACCAGGGGGAGGCAGAAGAGGGAAUUCUCCAGAAAGGGGCAAAACCGGGAGGAGACAAGGCGGGGGGAGUGAGGAGGGUAUAGGAAUGAAAAACCUUUUUUAGAGGGAAAAAACAUAUGGAAAAGUAACUGGGCACAUCUGGAGGGUACCAAACAAGAAGGCCACGGAAAACUACGUG